AGAACAAAACUAUAAUCUCAUUUAGUGCUUCAAUAGUCCUUUCUCUGCUAAACUCACAUAGCCACAAUGAUUGUCCAAAGACACGCAUUCCCCCUUCUUGGACAUCCUUAAGACUGAGCUACAUAAAACCCUAAACCACCUGGUCUCACAGUUUUCCUGACACUGUUUUAGGCAGGACGUUGCACCUUCUGAGGCUGCUCACAACCAUAUUAUCAUGUGACUCCUGAUGGUAUGUUUGAUAUUUUCAGAUAUAUUGAGACUUGGUUUCUGAUUAUCCAGAAUAUGCAGAUUACGUUUUAAUAAUGCCACUUCUUUCUCUCUAUAAUAUCCAUGUGUUGGCCUCAUAGGGCUCCCUGAAGCGUGUGUUUCCAUUUCCACCAUUAGCUGAAACCAUCAAUGGAAUGAAUAGCAUUCCUUAGGCUUGAGAUAUUCCAGAAGUGAUACAUAAUUGAUUUACAUUUUAAAAGACAUCACACAUACACAUGUAUUCUAGCAGGAUACUUGUCUGUGAUAUCUGAAACCUUUUCAGAUGGAACAUUAAAUAUAAAUCCAGAGUAUUUGCUUGUACCCUUUGUUCUUCUUUCUUAACUAUCUAGAAAGAAGCAGCAUUUCCCCUGACUCUCAGAGCUCCUUUGCAUCAGCACUGCUUUUCUCUCAUGAGAGUUCUAUAUCUUCUAGUAAUAUUUAUUAAUCUGCCAUAAAGUACUUCCAGUUCUAUAAUUCCUUAAGUUCAGGGAUAAGACUUUAAUUUCUUCCACCGCUCCCUUGUGCUAACGUAGCACAAGAACUUUGCUGAUCCUUCUCACAGAUGGAAUGUCAUGACUACAUUGCUUGGUUACCGGAUUUCCCUCUUCCUCUUUAUUGUGUCUCUCUAUCCUCAGCACUGACAUGUUUGCCUUUUCAGUAGUCAGGUGAACAGGGUAAUUUGAAUAACUGCUAUAGAAGUAAAGACUCAAGGGGUUUGAUUUAAUUUUGUUUAAAUGUUAGUAUAUGAAAUGUGAUCUGUUAGAGAGUAGUAGAAUCACCGUGCAGAUGACAAGCAUCAGGCAGAUCGUAUUACCUGGAAUAAUUGAAAACUGUCUGCUUUCUAUAAUUUUACUUGGCUUUCCUCAUCUAAGAGUUAAAAAUAUGUACUGCUCUUGAUGACUUCUAAAAAAGAACCAUAAACAAACUUAGUUCUAGUUCAGUUUCCACGAGAAGUAGUGAAAGCAGAUGCAUCAGCCAAUGCUCAGAGGAGACAGGUGUGUGCAUUAGCCAAAGUGUGCAUGUCAGAUUAAUUUGGAGUGUAAUAGUCAUGUUCAAAAGAAUAAAUAGUUAUGAGAGAACAUUUUACUCAUUUCAAUUCUCAUAAACUAACUUGGAAUCCACGUUUUGUCAUCCAGAAGAUUCUGAAAUUGGUGUCCCACUUGUUUCAUUUGCUUUUGAUGUGAAUAAUCUCAGAAUUAUGUUUUGUAUGUUUUAGUCUCUCCUGUUGAUAUUUUAAGUAAACAUUUUACUGCCAGAAAGAAUUCCUGAAAGUGAAAAAGGGAAAGGAAAACAAGAAUUAUCAAUAUUCUGUUUAAUAUGAAUAGAAUUACAUCUGCUGCUGCUUGAACACACACAUAUUUAUGGGUGAAUUUCAGACAAGCCAGGAGGUUUCAGUAGGUAGAACAUAUAUGAUAAGCCAAAAAUAUUGCAUGUAUUUUUAAUUCACAAGAAUGUGAACAGCUGUGGGUCUUGGAACACUUUAUCAAUUUAUGAAUUUAAGAAACUAUAAAGCAUUGAAAUCCUUCCAAAAUAGUUCACACUUGAGACAGAUCAUUGUGGCAGCAGCUCUCUGGCCACAGACAGCAAUGCAGAACUUUCCCAGGCAUUGUCCUGGGGAAGGCUGUGAGAAGAUCAAAGAAUGAUAAACAACUCUUAUCUUCACUUGCUGCACCUGUUGUUGUGAACAUGUGGAAUGAGUUGUGGAGAUGUGUUUACCAAAGGGUGGUUUCUUGAUUGGCCAAUGGUGAUGGCGUUUGCAUUGAAGGACCAAUUGGGUCCACCUGUAUCAGACUGUCAGUAAGGGUGAUUGGUUUCUUAAUAAGUACAGUGUAAUAAAGGGAUUGAUCAGCCUUCUGAGAAUCAUGGAGUCAAGGUCAAUUAUUACUCGGCUGGGGGCCCGUGAUGACAGAUUAUGGCAUAUGAUAAUCUGGUAGCAGAGCCCUGGCUAUAAUGCCAUCUGCUUUUCCUAUGUGAAAAUUCCUCAGGAAGGAUGGGAGCAUUAUAAUGAUAUGUGACAAUCACUACCUAAAAGCGCAUCUAGUUAAAGCCAAGAGGAAGUUAGCUUAGGGGGGAAAAUAAUAAUUAUUUUUACCUAAAAUAUAUAUAGAGUUAAAAAUGUCUAGCAUUAUAUAUAAUCAAUUAUGUUAAUAAUUGUAUUUUAUACCUUAUUUAGUUUUAAAAAUUUUACAUUCCUGGAUAAAUAAUAAAUUAUCAAUUGCUUCUAUGUUUAGUGAUUAAAAGACUUUCUUGGAAUCUACUAUCUUUAACAACUGCUAGCCAAUUUAUUUUACCUUCAGUUUUCUCUCUAUGCUAUAUAAUGUCUCAGUAUAGUUGCUAUGUUUCCUAUUUGUUUGGGUAGCUGGGAUUCAGAUGUGUAUACUUAGGAUAUUCUUCAAUAGUAGGAAAUUUCUGAAGGUAGCUAGGGAUUCCGUUUUUAAGGAAGAUUUUUUCCUUUGUUUCAAUUACGCAAAUUGCUGUGAGAGUGAUUCAGUAAAACAAAAGAAAAUUAUAGGGCUUGGAGUUUUAUAAAAGAAGAAAUAGAUACUUUUUUUUAGGGGGUCUUAUUCUAUUAUAAAUCUCUCCAGAACUCUUAACUUUCCAUGGACGAGUGUCCCUCCUCUCCCCCUCUUCCCACUGGCUGAUGCAUCAGUCAGAUUCUAGUAGGUACCAUUCCAGCUUGUGUUCAUGAAACAUUUUGCAGACUGUGUUUUGGAUUGGAGGUACUUACAUUAUUUUCUUGAUACCAAUUUUUUCUCAUUCUUUUUAUUAAACACUAUCUGGUUUUUAUAGAUAUAUAUAUUAGUAACUUAUACUUCCCUAGCAACAACAUCCCCAGCAAAUAUGCAUUUUUAGCAGAUUCAUGCCUAAAACAUAGGCAGCACAUGACAAUAGACUUCCCUGCAACCUACUGCUACUAAAGCAUUUCAAUACAGAAACACAGCUACUUUAAGGCUUAUUUCACUCUACCAUUUCUAAUAAUUUUAAGGGAUCUAAUUAUACUCUACUCUUUCUCUCCAGAGAAUUCGCUGAAUGAAGGGUUAUUCCACUGAAGUCAGUACUGCCAUAUAGUACAAAAUUAGAGUCAUAAAGGAGAACAGUUGUUUCCUGAUCCUCUGGUGGAAAAAAAAAAAAAGAGAACACAAGGACAAAGUGGAAGAAUAAAAAAGUGGAAUGUAAUGGAAGAUCCUUGUAUUCUCAAGGCAUCGUAGAAACAAUGGAUAACAAUUGACAAAAUGUAAAUUCCCUGGAUACAUGCAAAGAUUAUGGGGAAGAAAAAGAAUAAAAAUUGCCAGACGGAACCUCAUGUACUUAGUCAGCAAUGAAGUCGAACGUGUCAUGUGCUUUUGAUGACAGCUGUCCUCUAGAAGACAGAAAUUGUUCUCCUGGUGGAAGUUUAUGUUUUCAUUGCCUGGGACUGUCUUAACUCCAACUGCCCUGGGCCUCUGAGUGCAGCAGCACAUGAGCAGAGGUUCUGCAGCCAUGCAUGUUCUGAUAGUUCAUAACAAGCUUGCUCUAUUUAAUUGUAUUUUAAGAAUGAAUGAGGGAUAAUAUAAAGUUAGCUAUACCAGGACUUUACCAUCUAAUAUUUUAUUGGGAAAUUGUUAUUUCUGAAUAGCAUGGCAGAACAGAAAGCAACACUGUGGGCACGGAUCUCAGUCCUUCUCUUGUUAUUACUGAAGAAGAAAUGCUAUGCAGACAAGAAAGAGGCUGAGUUAAUUUCUUUAUAUGUAACUCAUGUAUUUACUGUGAGAUCUGCCUGUCACCUUUGUGUCAAAAGCUCUUCUGCCUCUACAGGGCAGGACACUGCUUAGGAUAACCACUGCUGCCAGGAGGAGAAAGAUGGUGUGGCAUGGGUAAGAUGAAGACCCUCAUACCCAAAGUUUACUGGGAGGGCACACAAGGUAGAGUCUGGGGAGAGUGGCUGUGUUGCUGUGCAUCCUCACACUUGCAUUGCAGCUUUGUCCUGGCCUUUUAAGAUGUUGGCUUGGAUUUGACAAAAGUGCACUUGGCAGUCUGCAGCCAAUGAAGCCAAAAGCCACAUAUGUUUCUGUGAGGCUCUGUUUCCUCUUAGUAAAAUAAAUGUAUUUAAAAAUAAAGAGGCAUCCAGGUGUCCUUGUUAAAAAGGCUGUGUGAACCCUGGAGAUUAUUUGAAUAUUUUUCCCUGAAAGCUCAUUAGUUACUAGGACAAUUAUUAAAGCAUCUUAUAAGGGAAAUAUUCCCUGUUUGAAAGUGAAUGUGUAUUGCUUUCAGGAAGUUAUUCUGAUUUGUUUGAGUGGGCUCUAAUAAAGAAAAUACCUUCCUUUACACUGCUUAGUAAACUACUAAUAGAAUAGAUAUAGAAGGACAGAGAAUCAACAUUUUUACUCUUAUUCAAUGUUUUUUAAAGCCUUUGCUGUGAAUAAAUAGAGACUUUAAACUGCUCCCAUGUAGGUUUAUAUUCAGCAGAUUCCUAAGAUCUCCUGGAAAUGGAAGCAAUUUUCAUUUAAAUAAUUUAUUAUCAGACUCACAGUGCACUCUACAAGUUAAAUGCAAAUUGACUACAGCUUGGCCAUCUCUAAGCAUUCAAAACUACUAACUCAGGUUGCAAGAAAAAGCAAGUUUGGCUAAAAAAAAAGGAAUUAUGAGGAAAAAAUGGUUAUUGUUUCUUUUGUUUGCUAAUGUUUUUGGAAGUCUACACAGUGGACUUUUCACUAUUUAUAUCUUUAACUACAUUUAUCUGUCAAAAUGCAUCUGGUGUUCUGAAAUUUUAAAAUUCUUUCCAUUUAUUACAGUUCAAAAUUGACCCAUUUCCCAUUUUUCUUUCCAUUUUAUAUUUUAUCAAUAUAGAUUUCACAUUUUUCAUUUUAUAAAAAUCCGUAUAUUUCAGUAAAAGGAUAAGGCUUUAAUAAAUAAAAAUUUUAUAGGUAGUGUGUUGAAGACAAUGUAAGAAAAAAAAGAAUUGGAAAAAUAUUAAUAACAGGAAUAACUUCUAAAACUGGUUUGGUUUUGUUAGUGUUGUUUUUUUUAGUAUUAUUUUUUAGGGAGUAUAUUUUGGGUGAAAUAGUUUAUCCAAAUUUGUGAAUAAUCCCUGCCAAUUAUGUGUUUUUAAAUUUUUUUUCUUUUUUUUACUAUUUGUACUGAAAUAUAUGAAUAUAUUUUUUGAAAAGUUGUGUGCUUUGCUGGACAAACUGGCCAGUGGAUAACUCCCUUAACCAGAGAAGUUACCCUGAAGAAAAGACUAUGUAUCUCCGUGAUGUUCCUUCCCAAUGUCUAACCAAAACUUACUCUCUUUCAGAUUAAACUCAUUGUCCCUUGUCCUAUUACCACAUGUCCUUGACAAAAGCCCCUCUCCAUCUUUCUUGUAGGCUCCCUUCAGGUAUUGGAAGGUGAAUAAAGUCUGCCCAGAGCCUUCUCCAGUCUGAAAAAUCCCAACUCUCUCCAGGCUGAAAAAAUCCCAACUCUCUCAGUCUGUCUUCACAGGAGAGGUGUUCUAGAGCCCUGCUCAUCAUCAUGACCUCCUCUGUACUUGCUCUGACAGUUCUGUGUCCUUUUGUUGGGGACCCCAGAGCUGGGUGCAGUGAUACAGGUGGGGUCUCACCAGAGCAGAUUAGAGGUGCAGAAUCACUUCCCUUGUCCUACUGCUCAUGCUGCUUUGGAUGCUGCCCAGAAUAUGGUUGGCUUUUGGGGCCAAUCCAAUCAUCUUACAGAGAAAUAAGGAAAAUGAGAUUCCAUAGUGGAUCAGACUUCAGUGAUUUGCUUUUCAUGAUGUGUGGCUCUGAUCCUUACCUUCUGAGCAAUGAUCAGUGCUCAGAGUUUAGUUCUUGUUGGUCAACCUUUUGUAUUGUAAAAUGUUCCCAAAGUGUGGAGAAACAUAUCUGAAGAACAGUGGAGAUCAACAUUUCGUCUCCCUUGGAUCUUAACAGAGGAUAAUGGAUGUUCCCUUUUAAAGCACUUGUGCUAUUGAUUUUGUGGCUUUAUCACUUUUAUGAAAAGUGUUACCUCACCUAGUUCUAUGUUCAUUACUUUAUUUGCUUCUGAGAAAAAUAUUAUCUUCAGAAAGUCCCAGGCAGGGAUUUACUAUCCUGGAUCAAAUGAGUAAAACCUGAUAAUUCUGAAGUAGUUGGCAAGAAAAUAGCAGCCCCAUGACAGGUCAUGUUCCCACAGGUUUCUCUGAUAAUCACUAAUUGCUUCAAAAUCACAUAUUCAAAAUGGAAAAGAGAGCUGAUUCCAUCAGGUCACAUCAUUAAGAGGAAGAGAUGAUACACAACAUCAGCUGCUUAGCAAUAUCAUGUUCCUUCUACUUAUUAGUGAUAUGUUUAUUCCCUUUUUAAAUAAUAGAAAUGGUAAAGUUUCUGCCAUUUUUAUAAGUCCAUAGUAAUUCCUCAUCUGGAUACAAUAAAUUCUCAAUAUUUCCUACAUACAUGAAUUUUCUUCUGACUUUCGUACUCUUCUACUAAACUAAAUAAUUGCGUUUUCCUCCUUGUUAAGGCCCUUCAAUAUCUUUAAGCAUUUAUAAUGUGUCCAAUUAGUUGUAUAAUGGCAAGCUAUACAAAUACUGGGGGAGGAUCUUCUAAAUGAAAAUAUGGUAGAUUGGCAUUGAUUUUCUGUAAAAGCAGAGCACUUAACAGCACAAUGCUCUGCUCUCUCCUGGUCCAGUUCCAGGAAAGGAUUUAGGCACCUAAGACAACAGCUGAGUAGAUACAAAUUAUCAAUUCAGUCACUAUUUAACAUUUGUGGAGCCUAAAUUCAAUGAGGAGCUCCCUGUUCUGCCUUGAAAUCCCUAAGAACAUAGGCUGAUGCUUCUGUAGAUGCUCAGAGCAGAUGAUGUCUAUGUAGCCAUCUUAUUACUUAUUUUCCUUCUAAAUGUGGCUGGAACCCCAGAAGCAGACAUUCCUUCACUUAAUUGACUCUGAGACUUAACCUAAGAAGUUUCUUUGCAAUGUGCCAAAAGCAUAUCUGCAGAAACAUGCUGCAUUUUUCUGCAAUCUCCCUUUCUUUAAGUUAAUGGAGAAAAUGACAAUGCUGCUCACCUUUUCUAUCAUAUUCUAGAGUUCACCAGCUCCUAAAUUAGGAUCAGAGUUCAAUUUCUUCCUCAGAAAGCAUUAAACACACAGACUCUGUCUCAAAGGAAAGUGCUUUCACCACUAUUCAUGUCUUUAGGUGCAUUUUUGAGAAAGAGGAGAAAACCUUUGGUUGCACCUGUGCUGCCCCCAUGGCAGGAGUGCCAGGGUCUCUGGCCACAGAGGCCCUGCCAUGCUGUAGCCUGCAGUGUUCCAGAUGAAGCAUCUACAAAUCUUCCUGACCUGAUUAAGUGCAGAAGUUAAGGGAUGCAAUAUUGGAUUUGGAGGUUCAUUAUUAGUUUCAGGUAUUCUAAAUGUGUAUUUGGUAUCCAUGUGCUAAGUCUCUGCACUCACAUUAGUCUAUCUCCGUACCCAUACUUAUUUUACUUUUCCUCUGGAAAUAUCUUAGAUUUUUAGAAGUUAUCUGUAAGGCUUGGGGGAAAUUAAUAUGAGAAAUAGUCUCGUUAUUUUCUUUUUAAUUUCUGCUCUGAAUUUAUUUCUUUCCCUGAACAUUUUAGUUACACAUUUGUUAUUUCUUUUUGAGCCUUUGGUCAUGGUAUAGAUCUUUUCCUGGGGCAGUUCUUGUUUUGUACUCUGUACAUCUAUCUAGUAUUGAGUUUCAACAUUGCUUAAGAAAUUGAGCAACAUGCACCCAUUUAAUUUGUCCUUAUAUCACACUAAAUAUUUAUAUUUGAAUGGUUAUUCAGUUUUGUCACAAAUAUCUGUCCUCAAGGAUUUCUCCCUUUUCUUAUGUAUGUAUAUAUAUAUAUAAAUAUAUAUGAAAAUGUUUUUCUUGCAGCUAUGAUCUUUACAGUUUUUUAAUUUCACCAUAAUUGUUUUACUAUUAAUGAUUCCUCUUUCUAGCUAGCCUCUUACACUAUUCUCAUGUAUUUUACACAUAUUGAUACCCCUCAGUUAUGAUUUUAAUCUGUCAAAAUGCUUUAAUGUAAGCCACUCUUUCAAGUUUAAUUUUAAAAUUUAAAUAUAAAUACAUUAUAAAUUUAAA